rnacentral:lncRNA from 1 species
UCCCCAUUUUUAUUUUUUGGAAAACAUUCUCUCUAUCUUUUUUUAUCGUCGUCCCAUCAUGACCCACGUUGCGACACUCUCAAAUCAUCAAAUAACAUGAAAAGAAAAUGAAAGAACCUCGCUGACCUCUUAGCUUCAAAUUCAAAAAUGCUUAGAAUAGAGCUAGGAUAUCACUUUUAUUAGCUUAACCCAAAAUCUAGCAAGUAUUUUACAAGAAAAAGAAAAAUAUAUGAGUUUUUAGACUUAGAAUCAUAGAGAAACAGAGAAAAAAAUAAGCAUUUAAGCCAACUUACUCAAGAAUCAGACACCCUUUACAAGUUGACAGCUAAAACUUCUUGAACCCCAUAAAAAAGAAAAAAGGAACACUCCGUUUACAUUCUAGAAAUGUUAGGAAUGUCUAGAAAUGUUAGGAAUGUAAAGGGAGUGUUCCUUGAUCUUUAUGAGGGUGUUGGAAGAAACACUACAAUUUCACCCACCUUCAAUAGGCAUUGGACUCAAAUUUUUCUAGACAAUACAAGUGUCAUAGACUCAUGCAGCAUUGAGCCUAUAGCCCAAUUUUAAGCGAUUGAUUAAAGUUAACCACACUUGAGUUUAGACUCAAAGUCGCAACAAAGUCCAGGCCUUUGCUUCCUGCACACCCAUACUUGCUUCCUGCCCUUAUCGUUUUAUGUGAGUGGACAAAAUUAUCCAUGAUAAUUGAUCUCAGCUCUCCCCUCAUCACUACCCUCAUCACUCCCUUCCCCAAUUUCCUGAACCCUAACACCUCUCUUCGAUUAGAAAAGCCCCUACAUCCCACAGGACCGCCUAGCACCCCUUUCCCUUAGUCGAAAAAUCCCAUCCGAAGUCCCUCAUUCACGCAAUAGUUGUUGCAACUACGACGACCAGCCUUAGGCAUGUGAUAGGACGGACAUUUUUUGGAAGGCUAUUAAGUGUUAUGGAAAACGUUUUCUGGAAGUCUAUUAGCAAUGUUAUGGAAAAAGGUUUCCGAAAGGCUAUUAGCAAUGUUAUGGAAAAUGCUUUUUCGGAAGGUAGUUAUGGAAAAAGGUUUUUGGAAGGCUAUUAGUAGUGUUAUGGAACGCAUUUUCUAAAAGGCUAUAGUAGUGUUAUAGAAAACUUUUUUUGGAAGGCUAUUAGGAGUGUUAUGGAAAGCAUUUUUCAAAAAAUAUAUUUACCAUUUCGGAAUGGGCAUUCCAAAUGUUUAUUUUUUUUAUAAAAAAAAAUUACUUUCUGGAAAAGUUUAUCUAGAACCCAUUAGUAUAGUUACAAAAGAGCGUUCCAUAAAUGUAUACUAUAGAUUCCAGAACGGGCAUUCCAAAUCAUUUUUUCCUAAAAUUCCUUUUUAGAUAAUGAUUUCUGGAAGCGUAUUUAAGCAGUUAUGGAAGAGUUGUUCCGGAAAGUUAUACUAUGCAUUCCAAAAUAAGCAUUCCAGAUUACUUUCUAAAACACUCACUUUCUGGAAUAGGCUCUCUAGAAGUCUAGUAUGAAAGUUAUGGAGUGGCUAUUAUGGAAUCUGUGUUGAGCCAUUCUGGAAUGCCAAUUUCGGAUAAUAAUUAUAUAUGGAAAGACUUUUUUGUAAUAGUGGUACAAGUGUUUUGGAAAGCCUUUUCCAAAAGAGUUAGCCACAAUUGCUUUUCGGAAUAAGUUCUUCAAACAAAACCCGAACCUAGCUAGCAUAAGAGUCAAAACAACCACUUACCUAUAGUGUCUAUCUCCACCCAACCUUCGAAGGAGCUACACACAGAAUGCAGAUGCUACCUCGACCUGACCUCAACAGAGCUAUGCAAGAUGCCCCAAAACAACUAAUGUUUGUAACAUUUGAUGGAUAUAACAACGUCUAUGCCGACACAACCUUCACGGAAAACAUACUCGAAUGAAAAUGGAAUAAGGUGUUGGGAGUAGGUCAGCUGCUUUUAGGACA